rnacentral:rRNA from 1 species
UAGGGAAUCUUCGGCAAUGGACGAAAGUCUGACCGAGCAACGCCGCGUGAGUGAAGAAGGCUUUCGGAUCGUAAAACUCUGUUGUUAGAGAAGAACAAGGACGUUAGUAACUGAACGUCCCCUGACGGUAUCUAACCAGAAAGCCACGGCUAACUACGUGCCAGCAGCCGCGGUAAUACGUAGGUGGCAAGCGUUGUCCGGAUUUAUUGGGCGUAAAGCGAGCGCAGGCGGUUUCUUAAGUCUGAUGUGAAAGCCCCCGGCUCAACCGAGGAGGGUCAUUGGAAACUGGGAGACUUGAGUGCAGAAGAGGAGAGUGGAAUUCCAUGUGUAGCGGUGAAAUGCGUAGAUAUAUGGAGGAACACCAGUGGCGAAGGCGGCUUUCUGGUCUGUAACUGACGCUGAGGCUCGAAAGCGUGGGGAGCAAACAGG